UUUUUUGUAGCUUUGGUUCUAGCACUGGUUUACGGAACAGACAAUACAUUUGCAGUUCCAGUGUGUUCCGACUGUACAAACGUUGAUCACCCAUGGAAUUGUCAUAAAUCAAUCAGGUGUCUAGAUAAUGACGUUUGUUCUGUGAAUGUAUUUUUGCACCAAGGAGCAGUACUUUACACACUAGGAUGUCAGAGGAAACAAAUUUGCUUAGACUUCAUAAAUCAUGCUGGUCCCUCCAUAGGUAAACGUAUUAAUGAUGCUGACUUCUGUUUCGCCUGCUGUAACGACGACAUGUGUACAAGAAUAACGUCGUGUUAUCAACUAAGAAAACAGAUGAAUGCAACGAUGUUCCAGUGAGCUCGAUCAACUAGGAUAUGGCCCCGUCGGUUAUUUUAUGAAUUAAACUAUGAAAAAUGCACUGUCUUUAAGACUGAGUAAAAUCAACAAUAUCAUGGAUCUCCUGAAUUGAAUAUAUUUUUGUUCUACAAAUGGAACCUUGAUGAUGAAUAAAAGGAGUUUUGGGUAAACGUCAAC